rnacentral:rRNA from 1 species
UACGGAGGGGGCUAGCGUUGUUCGGAAUUACUGGGCGUAAAGCGCACGUAGGCGGCUUUGUAAGUUAGAGGUGAAAGCCCAGAGCUCAACUCUGGAACUGCCUUUAAGACUGCAUCGCUUGAAUUGUGGAGAGGUAAGUGGAAUUCCGAGUGUAGAGGUGAAAUUCGUAGAUAUUCGGAAGAACACCAGUGGCGAAAGCGGCUUCCUGGUCCGAGCACCGA